AACGAACGCUGGCGGCAGGCUUAACACAUGCAAGUCGAGCGCCCCGCAAGGGGAGCGGCAGACGGGUGAGUAACGCGUGGGAAUCUACCCAUCUCUACGGAAUAACGCAUGGAAACGUGUGCUAAUACCGUAUACGUCCUUCGGGAGAAAGAUUUAUCGGAGAUGGAUGAGCCCGCGUUGGAUUAGCUAGUUGGUGGGGUAAAGGCCUACCAAGGCGACGAUCCAUAGCUGGUCUGAGAGGAUGAUCAGCCACACUGGGACUGAGACACGGCCAAGACUCCUACGGGAGGCAGCAGUGGGGAAUAUUGGACAAUGGGCGCAAGCCUGAUCCAGCCAUGCCGCGUGAGUGAUGAAGGCCCUAGGGUUGUAAAGCUCUUUCACCGGUGAAGAUAAUGACGGUAACCGGAGAAGAAGCCCCGGUUAACUUCGUGCCAGCAGCCGCCGUAAUAC
rnacentral:rRNA from 1 species